CCCUUAGAUGUUCUGGGCUGCACGCGCGCUACACUGAUGCGCUCAACGAGUUUUAACCUUGCCUGGAAAGGUUGGGUAAUCUUUUUAAAACGCAUCGUGAUGGGGAUAGAUUAUUGCAAUUAUUAAUCUUCAACGAGGAAUUCCUAGUAAACGCAAGUCAUCAGCUUGCAUUGAUUACGUCCCUGCCCUUUGUACACACCGCCCGUCGCACCUACCGAUUGAAUGGUCCGGUGAAAUCUUGGGAUUUUGUUUUGUUUGCAUUUAUUUGUAUCGAGACGAGAGAACUUGAGUAAACCUUACCAUUUAGAGGAAGGUGAAGUCGUAACA
rnacentral:rRNA from 1 species